rnacentral:rRNA from 1 species
CCUACGGGAGGCAGCAGUGAGGAAUAUUGGUCAAUGGACGAGAGUCUGAACCAGCCAAGUAGCGUGAAGGAUGACUGCCCUAUGGGUUGUAAACUUCUUUUAUCAAGGAAUAAAACGAGGCACGUGUGCCUUUUUGCAUGUACUUUAUGAAUAAGGAUCGGCUAACUCCGUGCCAGCAGCCGCGGUAAUACGGAGGAUCCGAGCGUUAUCCGGAUUUCUUGGGUUUAAAGGGAGCGUAGAUGGGUUGUUAAGUCAGUUGUGAAAGUUUGCGGCUCAACCGUAAAAUUGCAAUUGAUACUGGCAGUCUUGAGUACAGUUGAGGUAGGCGGAAUUCGUGGUGUAGCGGUGAAAUGCUUAGAUAUCACGAAGAACCCCGAUUGCGAAGGUAGCUUACUAAACUGUGACUGACAUUGAUGCUCGAAAGUGUGGGUAUCAAACAGGAUUAGAUACCCGAGUAGUC